UACGAAGGGGGCUAGCGUUGCUCGGAAUCACUGGGCGUAAAGCGCACGUAGGCGGAUUGCUAAGUCAGGCGUGAAAUCCUGGAGCUCAACUCCAGAACUGCCUUUGAUACUGGCGACCUUGAGUCCGGGAGAGGUGAGUGGAACUGCGAGUGUAGAGGUGAAAUUCGUAGAUAUUCGCAAGAACACCAGUGGCGAAGGCGGCUCACUGGCCCGGUACUGACGCUGAGGUGCGAAAGCGUGGGGAGCAAACAGG
rnacentral:rRNA from 1 species